GACGAACGCUGGCGGCGUGCCUAAUACAUGCAAGUUGAGCGCUGAAGGUUGGUACUUGUACCAACUGGAUGAGCAGCGAACGGGUGAGUAACGCGUGGGGAAUCUGCCUUUGAGCGGGGGACAACAUUUGGAAACGAAUGCUAAUACCGCAUAAAAACUUUAAACACAAGUUUUAAGUUUGAAAGAUGCAAUUGCAUCACUCAAAGAUGAUCCCGCGUUGUAUUAGCUAGUUGGUGAGGUAAAGGCUCACCAAGGCGAUGAUACAUAGCCGACCUGAGAGGGUGAUCGGCCACAUUGGGACGGAGACACGGCCCAAACUCCUACGGGAGGCAGCAGUAGGGAGUCUUCGGCAAUGGACGAAAGUCUGACCGAGCAACGCCGCGUGAGUGAAGAAGGUUUUCGGAUCGGAAAACUCUGUUGGUAGAGAAGAACGUUGGUGAGAGUGGAAAGCUCAUCAAGUGACGGUAACUACCCAGAAAGGGACGGCUAACUACGUG
rnacentral:rRNA from 1 species